rnacentral:lncRNA from 1 species
ACAGUUGUGCACCACCACGCCCGGCCUCCUUUUGUUUUAAUAUUGGACAUGAACAAAAUGAAAAUAUAUGCUAUUUGCAAGAGACAUGCUGGAACAAAAAAAUUUAAGUGGGGCAUGUAACCCGUUUACCCUUAAUGUCAUUACUGAAGAACAUUUGAAGUACUGUGCAUGUUGACAUUGUUUAUAGGCUCAAAGGGUGCUCUGUCCUCGGGCUCUAGAAAGCUACACACCUUGUCUGAUGACUCUGCUAGUGACGUCAAGAAAUUCCAGUGACCUUCUUAUGGGGAGGCUUUAUCCCAAGUGUUUUGGGGCGUCCACGAGCUGGAUGUUUUUCUGCCACAAGGGGGCGUCAGCUCUCUACUACUGGAGCCACACAUCUCAGGCACUGAAGAGCGGGCAGGACUCUGGGAUUGAAGAGGGCGCCCUCUAUCUGUCAAAACGUGACAGCGGAAGACCAAAACGCAGUCUGAGGCUUCUAUCCUUCCUUGGGCCUCACCACCAAAGGUGUUCGGCGCCCCUUCUGCUCCUCUAACAAACCGGGGGCAGAGGACGCAAGCCUCCUUUCACGUCUCAUGUGCGGAUGGAUUCCAGGUCCUGUUGCGUCUAAUCAGGUCCGCUUUCUGAGUGGCUUACACUGUAUUAGGGGCACGACCUCUCCCCCUUUCCCUGGAAUUAUCUACAAGGUCCCCUCACGCGCUCACGCCCGUGUGUGUGUGUGUGUCUGUGUCUGUGUGUCUGUGUGUGUGUGUCCAUUUGGGACUAGAAGGUGCGUGGGUUUGCACGUAUGCGUGUACCUGUGCGGCAGAUGAGAAUAGGGUUUGGACAAUGGGCCAGGGCAAAUGAACAAAGACAGACAGGAAUCUGCUGUUGGGACCAACCCAGCCCCUGUGCUGUCCUACCUCUGACCUACGUACUGAGUCUCACUGACCUUGCAAGGUUAACUUUCCAGAACAAGAUGCUUCGCUUUAUUUCUAAGCUCAGGAUAACCUAGCAAAAGUGGAAACCACUGUCUCAAGAGCAAGAAGUGUCCCGAGUUCGAUCUCCGGUAUCAAAAAAAAAAAAAAAAAUGAUGAAAGGAGACACUUUGUAACUUUUUCAUAAUAAGUAUUGAAAUCUGGUAUAUAUUUUACAACUACAGUACAUCGCAGUUUGGGUGUUCAAUUUGCAAUGUUAAAAACUGAAAUGCAAACCUAUCAAAAUAAUAAAAUUGUAUUUAAUGAGAAACAUUACAUUGCUUCAGUUUUCACAUACAAUUACAAAUUCAGCUGGAUAUAGUGGUGCACACCUGUAACCUCAGCUACUCAGGAGGCUGAAGCAAGAGGAUCACAGAUUCAAAUCCAGCCUGGGCAACUUAGCAAGAC